AUAAAGUAUCCGACUCUACAUGGUUAGGUUGCUUAAGAUUUUUACGAAACGUUCGCCAGCAUUGGCAUGAUAAACCUCGUCCACAACUGUCAUCAUGUGUUAAAGAUGGAAACUAUCAAGAGUGUUUUCUUCAACUUUUUGAGGAACUGCCUUAUCUAGUUCACAGAGCCAUAAGAUUGAGUGACUGGAAGGCAAGACCUGAUCUAGAGAAACAUUUUCCAAACAGUGAACAUCCUGUAAAACUUGAAGAAGGCAAGGGAAAGAAAAGCGAAGGUGUUAUUGACUACGCUGAACUUAACGGUAAAUAGCUAUGUAACAA